rnacentral:misc_RNA from 1 species
AACACUGUUAACCUGCGGUACCUGCGGAAGGAUCAUUACAGAGUUAUCCAACUCCCAAACCCAUGUGAACUUAUCUCUUUGUUGCCUCGGCGCAAGCUACCCGGGACCCCGCGCCCCGGGCGGCCCGCCGGCGGACAAACCAAAACUCUUGUUAUCUUAGUUGAUUCUCUGAGCGUCUUAUUUAAUAAGUCAAAACUUUUAGCAACGGAUCU